GCCAGUGUGGUGUAGUGGUUUGAAUGUUGGACUAUGACUCAGGAGACCAGGGUUCGAUUCCCUGUUCAAGCA